UGCGGCACAGUCGAUAGCGCGCCGAACCUCGUGCGAGAAGGUCGAGGGUUCUGUUAUGGGUGUAUAAACUGAUUGACUUCUGUUCUGGAUCGUAUUCAUUGCUGUAGUUCUACAAAUAUGUUUUUUCAACUCGUCUGCAUUCUAGUCUCUGUAUUCUCAGUCUCAGUGUGCGCAGCCUCAGUAGGGGAGAAGCUGGUUUCCUACACAUGUCAAGAGGGUACAAACACACUUGAAGCACCAUUUGGAGCAGUGGAUCCCCAAUGUGAUCAGAGCUGGACCACUAGCAAAAAGCCCAUUGCCUACUAUGAAAAUGGCAUAGGUGAAUGCAGUUUUUCAUGCGAAGAAGUGUUCUCUGGCAAAGUCAUCCUCCGUGAAUGUCACAUUAACUAUUGGUUGCACCACCAAGGAUGGGGUAUAUGAAGAGACCAGGCUGCACUUCUCAGGGAUAAGUGUCAGCAACCAAGCUUUGCCUCCAAAAACUGCCAGCACUGCCUCUACAAACGUUCAACAUGCUCAUUAUGGAUUAAUUAUAUUCUCGGUCCUGUCACCUCUGGUUAUUGUGAUCAGCGUGAUCAUCAGCCGUUACUGCAGAUCUCGUCCAAAUGAAGGUGAGGAGGCUUCAUCCAUGGUGUUGUAAUCCCCCCAAAGGACCAAGAUGACAUCUAUCCUGCCAAUGAAGAAUCCUGAAUCAGGCAUUAUCUUACAAUUUAGCCAGUAGGAUUAUUGACAGGUAAUCCUUUCAGGACUGCUGCUCUACCUCUCAAAAGGGAAAGAAAAUGAGCUUUUCGACCAUGUAGGUUUUUAGUUUCUUUGCAGACUAAUUAAAAUUAUGUAGUUCUGUGAAGCACUCAAUGUUGUGCACUUUCCUGCAUUCUCUUUUAAUUCCAAUGCUCGAAUAACCCCCUAAACUUGUUUACCAGUGAUGCAGGAGACGUUGGCAGUCUUUUCACCUAAGACGGGAAGGAGAAAAGCCAUUAGAUCUUUUUUGGUGAAAAUGUGUUCUUGCUGCUAACAUUUGAAACGGCUCUGCAUCACAAUGCUGGGACAUAUAGCUAGUGUUGUAGUAUUAAUGUAGUAACAAGUAUUUCCAAUCUAUUUAUUGCUGACAGAUGUAUACGUGUAAAAUGAGGAAAGUAUGGUAUUUCUAGGUAUGCCAACAGUACAGUAAUUGUUACACUGUACAUUGCCAUUUCUCUCUUACAUAUUUGUGAAAACUGUUAAUAUGACAGUUAGCUACAGUAAGAUGGUAGCGAUGCCAAGCAGUAACAGAAAGCACUCAAUGUUCAUCAGUUCACCUUGGGCUUGGAAGUGAUGAAAUGAACCAGCAAUUGGCGACUCAGGUUGAGUAAGGUACUCAACCUGUGGGACCAGUGUCUAUGGCAAGACUUGAAAAUGGCUGUCUAGCUAUGAUCAACAACCAACUUGACAGAGCUUGAAGAAUUUUUAAAAGAAUAAUGUGCAAAUAUUGUACAAUCCAGGCGUGCAAAGCUCUUAAGAGACUUACCCUGAAAUCGCUGCCAGAGGUGAAGCUAACAUAUACUUAUGUAAAUUAGAUAUAUCUGUAUUUAAUUUAUUUAUUCUAAAAACAGGUUUUACAUUUGUCACUGUGGGGUAUUGUGUGUAGAUGGGUGAGAGAAAAAAAUCAGGCUGUCACAACUAAAUGUGGAAUAAGUCGACAGUGCCUAAAGUAUUCAUGCCUAUCGAUUUUAGAGAUGCGGUAACAGAAAGUGCAUAAGGUUAAUCGUUCAUCUUGGGCUUGGAAGUGAUGAAAUGAGCUGGCAAUUGGAGAGUUGGAGAAUUGGAGACUGGUCUGAAAUCCUAAUGCUGUUGUGGCAUGAGAAAGGUGCUGUGGGACCAGGGUCAAAAUUAGCAAGGAUAAAAAUGUUAAAAGCAUUUUAUUAUUGGUUGAUAUCACAUUUCAUGGACACUUACCAAACAUCUGUUAUUCUAAUUCUUCUUAUAUUAACUGUCAAACUGAAUUUGAUACACUAGUAUUACAUGAGCUGCAAAUAAGCUCUAUUUCCUUUUUUAGGUCUGUUGCUUUGCAUUUGUAUGCAUUUGUAUUAACAACUGCUAACCAUGUGUAUGUGACCAAUAACAUUUGAUAUGAUUUAAUUCUGUUAAGAUUAUUAUUAUUAUUGUGAAAUAAUGUGUUUGUGUGCUAUGAUCACACGGGUGUCAUGAAAAAAUGUCACUGUUAUUUUAUAUGACCCAUAUCCAUGCACUCCUCAUGUCAAACCUGUCCUGUGAUAUGGUG